CCUACGGGGCGCAGCAGUCGAGAAUCAUUCACAAUGGGGGAAACCCUGAUGGUGCGACGCCGCGUGGGGGAAUGAAGGUCUUCGGAUUGUAAACCCCUGUCAUGUGGGAGCAAAUUAAAAAGAUAGUACCACAAGAGGAAGAGACGGCUAACUCUGUGCCAGCAGCCGCGGUAAUACAGAGGUCUCAAGCGUUGUUCGGAAUCACUGGGCGUAAAGCGUGCGUAGGCUGUUUCGUAAGUCGUGUGUGAAAGGCGCGGGCUCAACCCGCGGACGGCACAUGAUACUGCGAGACUAGAGUAAGGGAGGGGGAACCGGAAUGCUCGGUGUAGCAGUGAAAUGCGUAGAUAUCGAGAGGAACACUCGUGGCGAAGGCGGGUUCCUGGACAUUAACUGACGCUGAGGCACGAAGGCCAGGGGAGCGAAAGGGAUUAGAUACCCUUGUAGUC
rnacentral:rRNA from 1 species